rnacentral:ncRNA from 2 species
UUCAACCGGCCCUGUCGAGGUUCCCCAUCCCAGGCGUGGCGAUGGGGCUAAGACGGGAAGCCGGUGACGUUCCAGAAGGGGCGGAUUCCGGCGCUGCCCCCGCAACUGUGAGCGGAGAGCGGCAGUUCCAUUUCGUGUCACUGGGCCCUGUAACGGGUCCGGGAAGGCCGGAACUGCCGUGUUGACCCGCAAGCCAGGAGACCUGCCUCCGACGCGAUAACGUU